UAAUAUAUUCUUCUUUUCCUGUGCAAUAUUCAGGCUGCAACUAAAGUUCUUGCUCGACAGUUGGUAAGGCUUACGCAGCAGAUCGCUAACCUUCAAGGUAGUCGAGCUCAGAUGAGAGGCAUAGCAACUCACACACAGGGCACAAGUCAAAACAAUUUACCUUGCAAUGAUACAUGAAAUUUUUAUAUCUUGGCAUGAAGUACAAGAAGACUUUGAUUAGGAAUUCUAAUUCAUGUAUUAGGAAAUUUCAUGAGAAGUUAUGACUUUCACUUUUGGUAUUUUGAAGAAGACUUUGAUUAGGAAUUCUAAUUCAUAUAUUAGGAAUUCAUGAGUAGUUAUGAUUUUCACUUUUGGUAUUUUGUUAGUGUAUGUUGUUAUGUGAUCACACACUUAUUUUGGUGACAAUUUUAUGAAAGUUGGAUUACUUGAUUAUUGGUCA